rnacentral:rRNA from 1 species
UACGUAGGGGGCUAGCGUUAUCCAGAAUUACUGGGCGUAAAGCGCGUGUAGGCGGCUGGUUAAGUGUGAUGUGAAAUCUUCGGGCUCAACCCGAAAACUGCAUUGCAAACUGGCCUGGCUAGAGUGCAGGAGAGGGAAGCGGAAUUCCAGGUGUAGCGGUGAAAUGCGUAGAUAUCGGAAGGAACACCAGUGGCGAAAGCGGCUUCCUGGUCCAGCACCGACGUUCAGGCACGAAAGCGUGGGGAGCAAACAGG